AGGCCUCUGCUGUGUUCGAAAAGUAGGCUUAUUUGAAAAGAACCGAUACCCCAUUUGCGGGAACUGAUUCCAGGACGAUCCGAUAAGGGCGGCCGGUAAUUUCCCACCUUGUACAAUGGGUUCUUUCCAACGAGUCUAUCCGGCACCGAAGCGGAGGCUUU
rnacentral:other from 1 species